CCUACGGGUGGCAGCAGUGGGGAAUAUUGGGCAAUGGGCGCAAGCCUGACCCAGCAACGCCGCGUGAAGGAAGAAGGCUUUCGGGUUGUAAACUUCUUUUGUGCGGGAGCAAUAAUGGUCACGUGUGGCCAGACGAGAGUACCGUACCAAUAAGCAUCGGCUAACUCCGUGCCAGCAGCCGCGGUAAUACGGGGGAUGCAAGCGUUAUCCGGAUUUAUUGGGUUUAAAGGGUGCGUAGGCUGUGAGGUAAGUCAGCGGUGAAAUGCCCCCGCUCAACGUGGGAACUGCCUUUGAAACUGGCAAACUGGAGUGUGUGAGAGGAUAGUGGAAUUCCAGGUGUAGGAGUGAAAUCCGUAGAUAUCUGGAGGAACAUCAGUGGCGAAGGCGACUAUCUGGCACAUAACUGACGCUGAGGAGCGAAAGCGUGGGUAGCAAACAGGAUUAGAUACCCCUGUAGUC
rnacentral:rRNA from 1 species